rnacentral:rRNA from 1 species
UAGGGAAUAUUAGAAAUGGACGAAAGUCUGAUCUAGCAACACCGCGUGUGCGAAGAAGGCCUUCGGGUCGUAAAGCACUUUUUGGAAGGAAUAGGAAGGAAUGUACUUCCAGAAUAAGUCUCGGCUAACUACGUGCCAGCAGCCGCGGUAACACGUAGGAGGCGAACGUUAUCCGGAUUUACUGGGCGUAAAGCGCGUGUAGGUGGUACUGUAAGUAGGGCGUGAAGGCUCCUGGCUCAACUGGGAGAGGCCGUUCUAAACUACAGAACUAGAGGAUGGUAGAGGGAGGUGGAAUUCCAGGUGGAGCGGUGGAAUGCGCAGAUAUCUGGAGGAACACCGGUGGCGAAGGCGGCCUCCUGGACCAUUCCUGACACUCAGACGCGAAAGCUAGGGUAGCAAACGG